GCCUCUUUACACCACUUGCAGAAACACAAGAGACCACUGGGAAAUUGUCUCCCAACAGUAAGGAGGAGAGAGAGAGUCAAUUCAUGGUUUGGCCUUUUUUAAAAAGAGAAAUGGUUUUCUAAGUUUCUUGUUGGUGGAGACCCCAUAACCCUGACUUCAGAAGUAGACUUCAGAAUAGUGGGCUCUGCAAGGUAGCAAAUCAUUGUAGCACUGAGUCACAGAGACUGUAUUCUUGAAGUCCUGGCAGAGGCAAAUUUCUCAUUAACAUUGAUCUGAGAGACAUCUGCGAUGAGCCUGUACAACGAGCCGACCUGCCGAGCUGACCCGAAGCUGAUGAGUGGUUCCGAAGGGAGGCAGGCUGGGAAUGAAGACACCACAGUGAAAUGAGCCCAUCUCUGUUUUCAGAACAUGACUUCGUAACUCCAGACUUAUAUGUUGAAUUUCUUGAGGCUUAAAUGUAUAAGCUCUUCCACUAUAUCGUCCUCUACAAUUUGAAAGUGAGUUGGAGAAUUGAGUCAACUUGCAGGAGAAUUCAAGCUCCUUAAACCCAUAGUGCUUGGAUAAUACUGGAACUUAGAUAAUCAUGAAAUUUGUUUUAAUCCCUUAUUUAGUUUUGUAGAGACUCUCUGGCCUCCGAUGCAACAAUGGCUAAUUCUUCUUUUCCAAGUUCUGGUUUUUUUUUUUUUUAAAGAAAAAAAGAAUGCCUAGGGUUUGUGGUAAAAAAUCAUAUUGAAAAAGGAAUUUAAAAUAGCCCUCUUUCUCCGACAAUAUAUAUCUGGCCUAGAGUUUAUUGCUGGAAAACACUCUACAGUGAAUGGCAAAGUAAUAAAGGGAAAAAAAUACUGGAAGUAGGUGACGUUAAAAAUAGUGAUAUUUUGCUUCCGUGGGCUCUUUUCUAAAGAAUGAUGGCUGAAAGAAAAUUAUACCACUUUAAAAAUGAAUUUUAAACAUUAAGCUGAAAAAUGAAAGCAAGGCAUUGUUAUAGCAAUACCAAAUGAUACUUUCUUCUGAAGAAUUAGAAAUAACUGUGAGUACUUUUCAGCCAUUAUGUAAUCUCCAAGGCAUUUCUCUGCCUUUCUCACUCCACCUCACCACACCUUAGGCAUAAAUCCCGAUUUCUACUCAUGUGUCGAUGACAAAGAAAACAAGUAUUGAGAACUAUUUGACAUAAAUUUAAAACUCAGUGAAUUGAUAGUGAAAACUGAUGCCCAAUGAAUAAUGUAAAUUAAAAUGGCUAAUAGGUUGGUAUUCCUGGCUUUUCUACUUCGAACUUUGAGAUAUUAAAAUUAACAUGUAGAGAAAGAAAUAAAAAAUUUAGUGUUUAGUUAUCAGCAGACAAGUACUUAUAUAAUAAUGUGUAGAAGUGUUCCUAUUUUGAAAACUGAAGCAAGAUAAUUCAUCUUACAAAUUAGCGAUAUAUUACAACAGUGCUAAUUAUGCUUAUGCUGCUAUAAUUAAGCCUUGCCAUGAUUAAGAGUCUGUCUGCCUUCUCAAUUAUAAAUAAACACUUUAAGUCAUUAUCUUAGGAUCCCAUGCUGUUUUCAG
rnacentral:lncRNA from 1 species